rnacentral:rRNA from 1 species
UACCUGGUUGAUCCUGCCAGUANUCAUAU